CCUACGGGUGGCUGCAGUGAGGAAUAUUGGUCAAUGGGCGCGAGCCUGAACCAGCCAAGUCGCGUGAGGGAAGACGGCCCUACGGGUUGUAAACCUCUUUUGCCGGGGAGCAACGGGCGCCACGUGUGGCGCCACUGAGAGUACCCGGAGAAAAAGCAUCGGCUAACUCCGUGCCAGCAGCCGCGGUAAUACGGAGGAUGCGAGCGUUAUCCGGAUUUAUUGGGUGUAAAGGGGGCGGAGACGGCGAUGCAAGCCAGGAGUGAAAGUCCGGGGCCCAACCCCGGGACUGCUCUUGAAACUGGGUGGCUGGAGUGCAAGAGAGGCAGGCGGAAUGCCUGGUGUAGCGGUGAAAUGCGUAGAUAUCAGGAGGAACACCGGUGGCGAAGGCGGCCUGCUGGACUGCAACUGACGUUGAGGCCCGAAAGCGUGGGGAGCGAACAGGAUUAGAUACCCUUGUAGUC
rnacentral:rRNA from 1 species